UACGGGGGGAGCAAGCGUUGUUCGGAUUUACUGGGCGUAAAGGGCGCGUAGGCGGUGCAACAAGUCACUUGUGAAAUCUCCGGGCUUAACCCGGAGCGGCCAAGUGAUACUGUCGUGCUAGAGUGCGGAAGGGGCUACUGGAAUUCUCGGUGUAGCGGUGAAAUGCGUAGAUAUCAGGAGGAACACCGAUGGCGAAGGCAGGUCUCUGGGCCACUACUGACGCUGAGAAGCGAAAGCAUGGGGAGCGAACAGG
rnacentral:rRNA from 1 species